rnacentral:misc_RNA from 1 species
GGGCACUUGUAUUGCUUCAUAUACUCAGCUGUGGCAGCGGUGAUCUUAACACACUGGCCGUGGAACCAUGUUUCACAAUGAUCGCAACAUAUCCAAAAUUCAUCCUUCGCAUACUUCCCCUCACAUAUGCCGCACAGUGUCUCACCUUCCUCCUCUUCAACAUCCAUCUCAAUACCCCAUUCAUCCUCAUCUUCUUCUCCUGCUUCGUCGUCGUCAU